rnacentral:RNase_P_RNA from 1 species
UGCAGAAGAGAUCCGGUCGCUGAUAAUUAUAUCAGAGGAAAGUCCGGGCUCCUUCGGAAAAGAUGCCAGUUAAUAACUGGGAAUUAAAGCUUUAUGCUUUGAUUACAGACAGCGCAACAGAAAGCAUACAGCCUGUAAUAGGGUUAUGGUGAAAUGGCGGGGUAAGAGCUCACCUUAUAAGUGGUAACACUUAUUGAACGGCAAGCCUCAUCUGGAGCAAAGUUAAAUUAUAACUAUAUAUGUUCCGAUAUAAAGUUAUGGGUAAACUGCUGGAGACAAAGUGUGAAUUUUGUCCAAGAUAGAUGACCGGAUGGGAUAUUUAUUCUCAUGACAGAACUCGGCUUAUUGUCUCUUCUGCAUUUU